rnacentral:misc_RNA from 1 species
UUUCCGUAGGUGAACCUGCGGAAGGAUCAUUACUGAGAUGGGGUCCCUCGGGGCCCGACCUCCAACCCUUUGUGAACACAACUUGUUGCUUCGGGGGCGACCCUGCCGUUUCGAUGGCGAGCGCCCCCGGAGGCCUUCAAACACUGCAUCUUUGCGUCGGAGUUUAAGUAAAUUAAACAAAACUUUCAACAACGGAUCUCUUGGUUCUGGCAUCGAUGAAGAACGCAGC